GACGAACGCUGGCGGCGUGCCUGACACAUGCAAGUCGGACGGUCCGUGAUUGAUCAAGCUUGCUUGAUUGGUUGUGGAUAGUGGCGGACGGGUGAGUAACGCGUGAACACCUACCCAUUGGAGGGGUACAACCCGUCGAAAGGCGGGCUAAUACCGCGUAAGCCGUGAGGUGAAAGGCUGCUUUUGGUGGCUGCCGAUGGAUGGGUUCGCGUCCUAUCAGCUGGUUGGUGGGGUAACGGCCUACCAAGGCUAAGACGGGUAGCCGGUCUGAGAGGAUGGCCGGCCACACUGGAACUGAGACACGGUCCAGACUCCUACGGGAGGCAGCAGUGGGGAAUAUUGGGCAAUGGGGGAGACCCUGACCCAGCGACGCCGCGUGAGGGAAGAAGGUUUUCGGAUCGUAAACCUCUGUUGUACGGGAAGAAGUGCGUGACGGUACCGUACGAGUAAGCCCGGCAAACUACGUG
rnacentral:rRNA from 1 species